rnacentral:lncRNA from 1 species
UUAAAUCUUACUUCCUUUAUUGCUUGUAUUUUUCUACAUCUCUACUAACCUAGUUUUUACAAGCUCUAAAAAUUUUUACUACCUGUGGAUGAUGCACUCCUUCUGCACCUCUGCGAACUUCCAUUUACACAGUGAUACAUGAAGACAGCAGACCUGUUGCAGUACAGAGAACAGGACUCUAUGGUACACUUGAGUUCUGUGAUGAUAGGGUGUAAAUCCUGUCCAAGAAGGUCAAAAUGUAUUGAAAUACGGAUCUUCAGUGCAACAAGUGACACUCAAGACAUUUGGGUGUCAAAGACUGAGGUAAUAGAGCAGUUCCAUGGAAAGUCUGAAAAGCAUUUUCUGUUAUCCAUGAAACCAAACCUCUCCUUCAAAUCCCUGAAGACCGACAUUUUUAUAUCUCCUGUGGUGACACUGCUGCUUCUCUUCUCUCAGAAUCUGGUGUACAGCUUCAUGACUGACAAAUGCAAAAGAAAGAUGCCAGAGGCAUAUUUGCUGCUGAAAGAUGAAAUUUGUGAUUUCAUAUUUGAACUGUCAGCUGUGAAAAGUUAGUAGGUUACCCCACUCAGCUGCAA